rnacentral:snRNA from 1 species
GUUACUUUGGUAGCACAUAUACUACAGAGAAGAUUAGCAUGGCCCCUGCACAAGGAUGACACGCAAAUUCGUGAAACAACACGGCAGCAGAUCUGC